rnacentral:tRNA from 1 species
GGAGAGGUGGCUGAGCGGUUGAAAGCGCACGCUUGGAGAGCGUGUGACCUGAAAGGGUUCCAGGGUUCGAAUCCCUGCCUCUCCG